CUUGUACACACCGCCCGUCACACCAUGGGAGUGGGUUUUACCAGAAGUGCUAGUCUAACCGCAAGGAGGACGGUCACCACGGUAGGAUUCAUGACUGGGGUG
rnacentral:rRNA from 1 species